CUGACCCCAAUUUAUUUUGCCCUUUUGUUACACUCACCUAUGCCCUAAACCCUUUCACUGUCAUUUUCACGACAUUGAUAAACAGAGAGGUCUCUCGCACUCUCUGUCUCUCUCGCUCUCUUUGCUCGCCAUGGUCGUAACUCUAGUGGUAGAGUUCUUCAUAUGCUUGGUAUUGACGAUCUUAGGUUACAUUCCUGGAAUAGUUUACGCUCUCUAUGCGAUGCUCUGUGUCGAUCGUGAUAUGACUCGCGCCGAUUACCGUCCACUCGCCUAGUCUCUUUGUGUGUGUGUGUGUGUGGAAAUCUGUGUGUGUUUAGCUGUAAUCUCAUGAUUUUGGAGUGAUUUGAACUCAUGAUUGAUCUAACUCUCUCUCAGCUACGAAGCUUUGUGAUUGCUCAUGGAAUCAAUGCCGCAGAUGUGAAGAAACUUCAAGAUGUUGGGAUCUACACUUGCAAUGGCUUGAUGAUGCACAUGAAGAAGGAGGUGAAGUUAAUUUUUAAGAUUUGUGAUAUAAUAAUAAUUUCGAGAUGGCGCUUUUGGAUCUCUUCAUUGCCUCAUCAAUUCCAGUCCUAAAAGUGCUCUGGGU